rnacentral:lncRNA from 1 species
AAAAGUGUUCAAUCAUUUGGCAUAGCAAGGUAAUAGGUCCAUAUUAUUAUAUAGGUGACAGUCUUACAAGGUGGAUGAUAGAGUAAAUCAUUAAAUUGAAAUUAAAGCCUAACAUGCUCCAAAAGACAGGCAAACAGAAGAGGAAUAUCAAUCAGGUGGUCAGCAAACCCUUUGUAGAAACUUUGAAAGAUUAUGUCCCUACUCAUGAAAUAAAGAGAAAUAUAUUCUAAGAAAACAGAGGGAUUGGGAGGACUGGAGAGCAGCCAAAGCAGAGGAUCUUCUCAUUGUUGCAUCACUGACAUCCACUCGAACCACAUCUCGCUGGAAUCGUCCACGCCGUAUUCUUCCACUGCACCACCUCUUCCUCGUAGUUGCCGUCAGGCCUAGCUCCUCGUCUUGAAACACAAACAUGCUUGGGUCUAUGCCAAUACCUUGCGACUUGAAAUUAUCUGAAACCAACAUCAUUAUGGUUAGAUAAAAUGCAUCUAGAAUAUGGAUUGACAGCUUGAGUAUCACACGGCAGUCCACAUAAUAAAUAUACGCGGCAGUCCACCAGAUGGUUUGCACUUCACUGCAAUCGAAUCAACAGAGACCUUUAUCUCUUAAUCCUGUACUCAACUCGAUGCCAUCUCUUUGGAACUUUGUUUGAGCAAACACAGCUAUCCUUUGGUUAACCUAUAUUAUAGAAAUAGAUAUAUCAUCUCACAGUAAACAAGGAGAAAAGAGAAGAUCUACUGACACUACAACAAAAGGCAUGGAUAUUGAAACAGUCCGCUAAAUUUCAAUGUCAAACCAACGAAACAUAUCAUUGUCCAGGAGAAUGUAAAUAUUACCAUGUCAACAAAACGAAGCUAGAUGCUCAGUUUGUGAAUAAUUAUGAAGAUAGCAUCAUAAUUAUUAAAAAUACACAUAAGAAAUGAUGAUGUACCACUUUGAGUAAAUGGAAAUUAGAGAGAUAAAUGACAGUUCAUGAGGCAACUUCUUGAUUCCCUCCACCACUACUGUGAUCAACGAGAAGUCAUUUUCAUCACUAAUUCCAUCAGAAAAAAAUUGAGGCCAUUAUUCAAUAGCACAAAAGCGUAGUUCCUGAUGGAUAACAAAAAAACACUGUUCCUCCUCUACUACAAAAUUCAGAAAGGAAAAAGAUAAAUAAUAUUCAGUAUAUCGUCACAGUCGUAUACCAACAAGAGUCGCAUCACACAGCCACACAAGAUUUAUUUGUUCUUUUCACUUGCUUUGCCUUGUAGUGGAAAUAAACCAAACAUAUGUUGUCAAAUAAACUGCCAAUAUCGCCACAAUGUCCGAUGGCCAUGUCGAUCACAUCCUAGACUAUUUUCUUCCUAUUUUUUUUCCACUGUUUUAUGUGGUAGUUCAAUCGGUUCCUUGAUUUGUUCAGUUCAGAUAAGUAUGCCGGAUGAUUAUCAUGAAAAAGGUAGAGUCGUCCAGGUUCCCAGCUUUAUAUUUCAGUAUAGUGUCAGCUCUUUUUACUGCUAAUUAAGUGUUUAACUAUCAUUACUUUCUUCUAUAUUAAGUUCCAUGUGCAUUUUACACAGCAUUUAUCUUCCGAGAGAUCUCUUCAGCUCGAGCAAGCAUAAACAAGGUUGUGUGUAUCACUUCUUAUUAGAUGUGAAGCUACUUCCUGUUGGGGGUCACACUGAUAAGGUAAACAUGUGUGUUCAUACUAAUUACGCCAACUUGUAAGCUCUGUCAGUGUAGAGGUAGCUUAGAAUUUUUAUAGUUUUAUUGGGAUUCAGGAACUAAACAUAAGAAGUAGGUAAACUGUCACAUUGCAGUGUCGCAAAGAAAUGUCCUUCUAACCUAAAAGCCCUAGCAAUUGUGAAAACAUAAUGAACAUAAAUCUCUUCACUCGCUUAGCCCCAACUUAAAACCACAGUUGGAACUUGAAGAAACACAAUAGCAUGCCUUUGAUAGGAUUACUGCGCACUACUGCAAAUCCGGAAUGCUACAUCUAAAUAAGUCUAACCAAUAGAGCUACUCCAAACAGCAACUACCAGGGGGAGAUGGAUAGAGGCACAGGGAAGAUUAGAGGGGCGAGAGCACCUUGGUCGGGGCCGUCGUGCUUGUCGUCCGUGCAUGGAGCAGCCCGUGGCUAUCACGUGCGAUUGCAAGCACGGUGUAGGACGAGCAAGAGGUCGUGCUUGGUUGCAGCCAGCUCGAGGCCUUGAAGACGACGACCUGCGUGAUGAAACCGACCACAUCAGAAAGGAAAUUAAAUUAGGCCUCCAUGAGUAACAACAACGCAACAUCCAAAUCGAAUCGAAUCGAACCAAGGGGAGAAAAGAGGGUCCAGGACCUUGUUGACAGUCGCGGUAUUAACGUUGGAGGGAACAGCCGCGUCGUCGUCAGCCGAUCAACCAUCUUUCUUUCAUGGAUUUCUUCUUACUCUUCCUUUUCCUAUGAGCAUCAUAUCACGGACGAGAAAAAGGGAAUCAGGAAACAGGCACAAAGAUGAACAAUAUUAGGCUGCAAAACCUACUGUAACAGGAAGGGUGGCACCCGUAAAAACACAGGUGCAGAAAACUCAUAUGUUGAACAUUUAUAUUAUCAUUGCUCCUUCUAGCAACUUGAGCCUUCACCUUGCUCCAACUUAUUCGGAAGCGCAAUCAAUAACCGGCCAAGAAUGAACGUCAUCCCCAUAUUUUGGUUCCUUCAUUGCAUUGAGACAAAUUAUCAGAACAAAUAAUUAAUUAACCUAGGCAUUGUGAAUUCUCACCAUCCAAAAAACAAGUUUGAGAGAUAAAACAAUGAUUGAGAGAAAUCUAUGGCAUGUGCUUCCUUUAGCAUUGUCAUUAAAACAGAACAUGGUACCACUAAAUAUCCAUUGGCUCUAACGUUUUCCCUUCUUCCUCACCAGAACAUGAACAAGAAAGCACAAGCAUCAAUGCUCACAAAUUUGGACAUGUAGGGCUGGCUGCCAGGGAGCGCCGGAGGCAUGGCAGCGGCAUGGUCGGCCGCUUGCUGGUAGCACCGGAGAAGACAUGGCAGUGGUCGUGCUUGCUAGCAAGGCAGGCAACCAAGGGGCAAGGGCUUGAAUGAACAGAUCGGCCGAAGAGCCGCCUCGCACGACCUCCACCUCUGCCACCUGUCCAGCCUGUCAGGCGACGAUCGAGCCACCUCCAGUAUCUCCCUGCCUGAAGCCGCUGUCUGCACUACCACCUCCCACAUCAAUCGCUGGAGAUAGCAAUCUCUUGCCUCUCAAUGUCAAAGAAGGAUUAGUAGGCUGAUUAAUUAGGUGGUUCUUCACAUAAGAAGGUGUUGCCUGUUAAGUACGGAUAUCUCACAGGACCUUGAUACUCAUAACUCACAAAUCAAAUUACCCUUAAUUUGGUGUGUUUCCCAAUAAGAAACCCAUAAUAAAAUAGGAAAAGCUCUACACCAACAGACAAAACAUUGUGAUAUGGGACAAAAUUCCAACUUACCCUGCAACCAAUCAACCAAUCACAAAAAAGAAGAAGACAAAAGAAAGAAAAGGAUCCUCACCUCAUAGUCGCAAUCGACCAACUGCAACACCUCCAUCUUUCUAGUCAGUUGGUAGUUGGCUCCCUCCAACGCCUCAGACGCGCUGAAUGAGCCGGCAAGAACCCUACAAAAUCAACAAGUUCAGGACGGGGCAAAACGACAAAAGAAUGAGAGGAACCACCGUACCUCUGCAACUCGCCGCCUUGAGCUAGGGCCUCCGUCAGAACCUCGAUGUCAUCCCCUUCUUCCCCUCCUCAGAAACAAUCAUGGCGGGCUGGUGGAACGUGAAGACGAGAAGGUUUGGGGGAGAAGCGGAUCUGAGGAGGACACCUUGUUCGGUGGCCGACGCCGGAGGAGCAGGGAUGGGCGGCGGCGGACGCGGUGGGGUUUGCUUCGUGAGGAAGGGAGACGAGUAGAACGUGUCCAGGUAACGAGCGCCCUUUUCUUUUUUUCUCCCAACGCCUUUUUUUUUUCUUUUCUUCCAUCGACACAGCGGCC